rnacentral:tRNA from 1 species
AUUUAAAUAGUUUAAUUAAAAUAUUGAUUUGUGGUGUCAAAGAUAUGAAUAUUAUUUCAUUUUAAAUC